rnacentral:lncRNA from 1 species
UGGAACCCGAACAGUCAUUCGUCAUGUGAUUCGGAAAAAGUAUUUUUAUAAGAUCAGUUUCGUGCUCUUGGUCGUUGUUGUGUAUGAUAUACAUGUAAUAUCAAAUGGUCCGCAAACAUGGAAGACAAUUGGUUAUGUUUCAUUCAUCUUGGAAAAAUCUCUGACUGUCAUACUUAUGUUUCUUAUAAACUUCUCACCAAGGUAAUGAUUGCUCGAUAACGGUAAUUAUUUUUGGCUUGCAUGCAUAAAUUAUAUUUAUUUUCCCUUCUCUCACGAUUGAUUUCGUCUAAAGUCUAAUGAGAUCGUACUACUCACUGGGUCAAUUGUAAUUAAUUCGAUUGAUAAGUUUUUUAUUAACUAUAAUUCAAUCUACAUUGCGAUUUUAUCCAUUCCCCGAUAUGCCCUAAAAUUAAUAUGUAUUUUGUUAUCUCGACCUGCAUGCUACCUUAAAUAAUCAAAACUAUAAUUAAUAUUACAUCAAGCAAUUUUAAUUAAUGACCCGGUAAAUGCGCAUGGGACACGCCGGUGCAAUGAAUAUAUUCGUUCUGUAUUUAGUGAAAGAAAUCGAGCGGGG